rnacentral:rRNA from 1 species
UAUUUAAAUAUAUUUAAUUAAUUUGAUUAUUUUUAAUUUAUAUUUUUUAUAAAAUUAUUUUAUGAAUUUAAAGUUUUAGUAUUAAGUAAAAAAUAAUUUUUAGUUUUAUAGUUUAAUAGUAUUGUAAAAGAAAUUUAUUUAUAUUAAUUAAAGAAUUUUGUUAGUACCUUUUGUAUCAGGGUUAAUUAAAAUUUUUAAUUUAUUUUAAUUUCUCGAAAUUUAUAGAGUUAAUUUUAUUAUUAAGUUAUUAUGGUAAAAAUAUUUAUAAAAUAAUUUUAGUUUUGAAAUUUAAUUCGUUAUAUUAUAUCUAGUUAUUUAAGAUUUAAAUUUAAUUUAAAAUUUUAAAAGUUAAUUUAAUUUUUUUUAUUAAUAUUUUAAAUUUAUAUUAUUUUAGGGAUGAGCUUGAAAUUUUUAUAUAAUAAAUAUUUGAAUUAAUAAUUUAUAGGAAUAGAAAUUUUUAUUUUAAGUUUGUAAAAAUUUGUUAUUUAUUUAAUUUUAAUUUAUUAUAAUUUAUUUAUUAUUUUUAUUAAAUUUUAUAAAUUAAUUUAUUAUUUAUAGUAAUAAUGAUUAAAUUAGUAUAAUAUUUAUUUAUGUAUUAUGAAUUAGGCAAAUUUUAUUUUUAUCUGUUUAACAAAAACAUUGUAUUAAGUUUUAUUUAAUAUAGGAUCUGCUCAAUGAUUUAUUAAAUAGCUGCAGUAUUUUGACUGUGCAAAGGUAGCAUAAUAAUUAGUCUUUUAAUUGGGGACUUGUAUGAAAGAUUUGAUAAGAAAUAAUCUUUAUUAUAUAUAUAAUUAGAAUUUUAUUUUUAAGUAAAAAAGCUUAAAUAUUUUAAAGGGACGAUAAGACCCUAUAAAACUUUAUAUUUAAUAAUUUUUAAUUUUUUGGAUUUAUAUUUAUAUAUAAAUAUAUAUUUAGAUUUUAUUAAAUAUUUUAUUGGGGUGAUAAAAAAAAAUUAUAAACUUUUUUUAAAUUUUAACAUUAUUUAAUGAUAAUUUGAAUUAAAAUUUUUAAUUAAAGGAAAAAGUUACUUUAGGGAUAACAGCGUAAUUAAUUUUUUAAGUUCAAAUUUAAAAAUUAGU